CCUACGGGAGGCAGCAGUAGGGAAUCUUCCACAAUGGGCGAAAGCCUGAUGGAGCAACGCCGCGUGGGUGAAGAAGGUCUUCGGAUCGUAAAACCCUGUUGUUAGAGAAGAAAGUGCGUGAGAGUAACUGUUCACGUUUCGACGGUAUCUAACCAGAAAGCCACGGCUAACUACGUGCCAGCAGCCGCGGUAAUACGUAGGUGGCAAGCGUUAUCCGGAUUUAUUGGGCGUAAAGGGAACGCAGGGGGUCUUUUAAGUCUGAUGUGAAAGCCUUGGGCUUAACCGGAGUGGUGCAUUGGAAACUGGGAGACUGAGGGGCAGAGGGGAGGAGUGGAACUCCAGG
rnacentral:rRNA from 1 species